GAUGAAGAACGUAGCGAAAUGCGAUACGUAAUGUGAAUUGCAAAUUCAGUGAAUCAUCGAGUCUUUGAACGCACAUUGCGCCCCCUGGUAUUCCGGGGGGCAUGCCUGUCCGAGCGUCAUUGCUGCCCUCAAGCACGGCUUGUGUGUUGGGCCCCGUCCUCCGAUCCCGGGGGACGGGCCCGAAAGGCAGCGGCGGCACCGCGUCCGGUCCUCGAGCGUAUGGGGCUUUGUCACCCGCUCUGUAGGCCCGGCCGGCGCUUGCCGCUCAACCCAAAUUUUUAUCCAGGUUGACCUCGGAUCAGGUAGGGAUACCCGCUGAACUUAAGCAUAUCAAUAAGCGGAGGA
rnacentral:misc_RNA from 1 species